rnacentral:rRNA from 1 species
UGGCCAGACUCCUACGGGAGGCAGCAGUGAGGAAUAUUGGUCAAUGGCCGGAAGGCUGAACCAGCCAAGUCGCGUGAGGGAAUAAGGCCCUAUGGGUCGUAAACCUCUUUUGUCAGGGAGCAAAGGCGUCCACGUGUGGACGAGAGGAGAGUACCUGAAGAAAAAGCAUCGGCUAACUCCGUGCCAGCAGCCGCGGUAAUACGGAGGAUGCGAGCGUUAUCCGGAUUUAUUGGGUUUAAAGGGUGCGUAGGCGGGCUGUUAAGUCAGCGGUCAAAGGUCGGGGCUCAACCCCGGCCUGCCGUUGAAACUGGUGGCCUCGAGUGGGCGAGAAGUAUGCGGAAUGCGUGGUGUAGCGGUGAAAUGCAUAGAUAUCACGCAGAACUCCGAUUGCGAAGGCAGCAUACCGGCGCCCGACUGACGCUGAGGCACGAAAGCGUGGGUAUCGAACAGGAUUAGAUACCCGUGUACG